rnacentral:rRNA from 1 species
UACGAAGGGGGCUAGCGUUGCUCGGAAUUACUGGGCGUAAAGCGCACGUAGGCAGUCUUUUAAGUCAGGGGUGAAAUCCUGGAGCUCAACUCCAGAACUGCCUUUGAUACUGAGGAUCUUGAGUUCGGGAGAGGUGAGUGGAACUGCGAGUGUAGAGGUGAAAUUCGUAGAUAUCUGGAGGAAUACCGGUGGCGAAGGCGGCAUCCUGGACCGACAUUGACGCUGAACGGCGAAAGCUAGGGGAGCAAACGGG